rnacentral:rRNA from 1 species
CCUACGGGAGGCAGCAGUGAGGAAUAUUGGACAAUGGGCGCAAGCCUGAUCCAGCCAUGCCGCGUGCAGGAUGAAGCAUCUAUGGUGUGUAAACUGCUUUUAUACAGGAAGAAACCUCCCGACGUGUCGGGAAUUGACGGUACUGUAAGAAUAAGGAUCGGCUAACUCCGUGCCAGCAGCCGCGGUAAUACGGAGGAUCCAAGCGUUAUCCGGAAUCAUUGGGUUUAAAGGGUCCGUAGGCGGGCCAGUAAGUCAGUGGUGAAAUCUCUCCGCUCAACGGGGAAAUGGCCAUUGAUACUGCUGGUCUUGAAUUAUUAGGAAGUAACUAGAAUAUGUAGUGUAGCGGUGAAAUGCUUAGAGAUUACAUGGAAUACCAAUUGCGAAGGCAGGUUACUACUAAUGGAUUGACGCUGAUGGACGAAAGCGUGGGUAGCGAACAGGAUUAGAUACCCUGGUAGUCCACGCCGUAAACGAUGGAUACUAGCUGUUGGGGCAACUUCAGUGGCUAAGCGAAAGUGAUAAGUAUCCCACCUGGGGAGUACGUUCGCAAGAAUGAAACUCAAAUGAAUUGACGG